rnacentral:rRNA from 1 species
UACGUAGGGGGCAAGCGUUGUCCGGAAUCAUUGGGCGUAAAGAGCGUGUAGGCGGCCCGAUAAGUCCGCUGUGAAAGUCCAGGGCUCAACCCUGGGAUGCCGGUGGAUACUGUCGGGCUCGAGUCCGGAAGAGGAGUGUGGAAUUCCUGGUGUAGCGGUGAAAUGCGCAGAUAUCAGGAGGAACACCGGUGGCGAAGGCGGGUCUCUGGGCAGUAACUGACGCUGAGGAGCGAAAGCGUGGGGAGCGAACAGG